GUAGGGAAUAUUAGAAAUGGGCGAAAGUCUGAUCUAGCAACACCGCGUGUGCGAAGAAGGCCUUCGGGUCGUAAAGCACUUUUUGGAAGGAAUAGGAAGGAAUGUACUUCCAGAAUAAGUCUCGGCUAACUACGUGCCAGCAGCCGCGGUAACACGUAGGAGGCGAACGUUAUCCGGAUUUACUGGGCGUAAAGCGCGUGUAAGUGGUACUGUAAGUAGGGCGUGAAAGCUCCUGGCUCAACUGGGAGAGGCCGUUCUAAACUACAGAACUAGAGGAUGGUAGAGGGAGGUGGAAUUCCAGGUGUAGCGGUGGAAUGCGCAGAUAUCUGGAGGAACACCGGUGGCGAAGGCGGCCUCCUGGACCAUUCCUGACACUCAGACGCGAAAGCUAGGGUAGCAAACGG
rnacentral:rRNA from 1 species